AGCAGCCGCGGUAAUUCCAGCUCCAAUAGCGUAUAUUAAAGUUGUUGCAGUUAAAAAGCUCGUAGUUGAAUUUCGAGACCGGCUUACUGGCCGUGCUAUUGUACGUACUGGUAUAAUCGGUUUCUCCUUUCUGACGAACUAUAAUGCCAUUAAUUUGGUGUUAUAGGGAAUCAGGACUGUUACUUUGAAAAAAUUAGAGUGUUUAAAGCAGGCUCACGCUUGAAUACAUUAGCAUGGAAUAACGGAAUAGGGCGUUUGAUUCUAUUUUGUUGGUUUCUAGGAUCGACGUAAUGAUUAAUAGGGAUAGUUGGGGGCAUUAGUAUUCAAUUGUCAGAGGUGAAAUUCUUGGAUUUAUUGAAGACUAACUACUGCGAAAGCAUUUGCCAAGGAUGUUUUCAUUAAUCAAGAACGAAAGUUAGGGGAUCGAAGACGAUCAGAUACCGUCGUAGUCUUAACCAUAAACUAUGCCCGACUAGGGAUCGGAUGAUGUUAAUUUUUAAUGACUCAUUCGGCGCCUUAC
rnacentral:rRNA from 1 species